rnacentral:rRNA from 1 species
CGGGCAGUGGGCGGGGUGCUUAUACAUGCAAGUCGAGCGAAUGACGAGGAGCUUGCUCCUCUGAUUUAGCGGCGGACGGGUGAGUAAACGAGGGCAACCUGCCCUGUAGACUGGGAUAACUUCGGGAAACCGGAGCUAAUACCGGAUAAUCCAUUUCACCUCAUGGUGAAAUGUUGAAAGGCGCUUUCGGGCGUCACUACAGGAUGGGCCCGCGGUGCAUUAGCUAGUUGGUGGGGUAACGGCCUACCAAGGCGACGAUGCAUAGCCGACCUGAGAGGGUGAUCGGCCACAUUGGGACUGAGACACGGCCCAAACUCCUACGGGAGGCAGCAGUAGGGAAUCUUCCACAAUGGACGAAAGUCUGAUGGAGCAACGCCGCGUGAGUGAUGAAGGUUUUCGGAUCGUAAAACUCUGUUGUAAGGGAAGAACAAGUACGUUAGGAAAUGAACGUACCUUGACGGUACCUUAUUAGAAAGCCACGGCUAACUACGUGCCAGCAGCCGCGGUAAUACGUAGGUGGCAAGCGUUGUCCGGAUUUAUUGGGCGUAAAGCGCGCGCAGGCGGUUUCUUAAGUCUGAUGUGAAAGCCCACGGCUUAACCGUGGAGGGUCAUUGGAAACUGGGAGACUUGAGUGCAGAAGAGGAAAGUGGAAUUCCAAGUGUAGCGGUGAAAUGCGUAGAGAUUUGGAGGAACACCAGUGGCGAAGGCGACUUUCUGGUCUGCAACUGACGCUGAGGCGCGAAAGCAUGGGGAGCAAACAGGAUUAGAUACCCUGGUAGUCCAUGCCGUAAACGAUGAGU